rnacentral:rRNA from 1 species
GAUGAACGCUGGCGGCGUGCCUAAUACAUGCAAGUCGAGCGAACGGACGAGAAGCUUGCUUCUCUGAUGUUAGCGGCGGACGGGUGAGUAACACGUGGAUAACCUACCUAUAAGACUGGGAUAACUUCGGGAAACCGGAGCUAAUACCGGAUGAUAUUUUGAACCGCAUGGUUCAAAAGUGAAAGACGGUCUUGCUGUCACUUAUAGAUGGAUCCGCGCUGCAUUAGCUAGUUGGUAAGGUAACGGCUUACCAAGGCAACGAUGCAUAGCCGACCUGAGAGGGUGAUCGGCCACACUGGAACUGAGACACGGUCCAGACUCCUACGGGAGGCAGCAGUAGGGAAUCUUCCGCAAUGGGCGAAAGCGUGACGGAGCAACGCCGCGUGAGUGAUGAAGGUCUUCGGAUCGUAAAACUCUGUUAUUAGGGAAGAACAUAUGUGUAAGUAACUGUGCACAUCUUGACGGUACCUAAUCAGAAAGCCACGGCUAACUACGUG